rnacentral:rRNA from 1 species
UACAGGGGGGGCAAGCGUUGUUCGGAAUUACUGGGCGUAAAGGGCUCGUAGGCGGCCAACUAAGUCAGACGUGAAAUCCCCAGGCUCAACCUGGGAACUGCGUCUGAUACUGGAUGGCUUGAAUCCGGGAGAGGGAUGCAGAAUUCCAGGUGUAGCGGUGAAAUGCGUAGAUAUCUGAAGGAACACCAGUGGCGAAGGCGGCUUUCUGGCCUAUUCUUGACGCUGAGGCGCGAAAGCUAGGGGAGCGAACGGG